AAGAUCACUUUUUCAAAGUUUCAUCCUCUGGACUCCUUGCUUUCUUCCAUAAAACCCAUCCAAAGGUCCUGCUAGGCUACUGACAGCUCACUAUCCCUGCAUGUCAACUCUUUACCUGUGAACAAUUAUGCAAGCACAGCCCUCCUCAGUUCCCUGAAGACCUGAAUGAAGCCAGGGUCUCAGGUGUGAGGUCAUAGAUCGGAGUAAGAACCAACUUUUUCUUAUUAGUUUUGUGACACUAGAAAAGUUAUUGUGGAUUUUGGGGCCUUUCGACCUGUACAGUGGGUAACAUGCCAGCAUCUCCUUUUUAGGGUAUCUCCUUCCUCAUCAGUGACAGCAAUCAGAGCAAGAUUAUGAAGUAGACUGGACAUAAGCACCACAUUUUGGGUGUCACUGUCUACCAUCACCCCCUAAUGGAACUGUCUAGUUGCAGGAAAACAAGCUCAGGGCUCCCACUGAUUCUACAUUAUGGUUGGAUGUUAACCUGAUGUGGUGCUCUUGGAGAAGCUUGCCUGAGUUAGGCACUUUCUUAG
rnacentral:lncRNA from 1 species